AGAGCCGGUCGAGUGACCGCGGCGGGCACGACCCGUCGAGGAAAGUCCGGACUCCACAGAGCAGGGUGGUUGCCAACGGCAACCCGGGGCGACCCGCGGGACAGUGCCACAGAAAGCAAACCGCCCGGCGCACGCGCCGGGUAAGGGUGAAACGGUGGUGUAAGAGACCACCAGCACCUCGGGUGACCGAGGUGGCUCGGUAAACCCCACCCGGAGCAAGGCCAAGAUGGGCGUCUCGGCGCCCGCGCGGACGAUCGAGGGUUGCUCGCCCGAGGUUCGCGGGUAGGCCGCAUGAGCUCGUCGGCGACGGCGGGCCUAGAUAGAUGGUCACUGAACGGGGUUGGUCGUGAGGCCUCCCGGGAACAGAAUCCGGCUUACAGACCGACUCUUCCG
rnacentral:RNase_P_RNA from 1 species